rnacentral:rRNA from 1 species
UACAGAGAGUGCGAACGUUGUUCGGAAUUACUGGGCUUAAAGCGCACGUAGGCGGCAUUGUAAGUGUCUGGUGAAAUCCCACGGCUCACCCGUGGAACUGCCAGGCAUACUGUGAUGCUCGAGUGUGGUAGGGGAGAGCGGAACUCCUGGUGGAGCGGUGAAAUGCGUAGAUAUCAGGAGGAACACCGAUGGCGAAGGCAGGUCUCUGGGCCACUACUGACGCUGAGAAGCGAAAGCAUGGGGAGCGAACAGG